rnacentral:rRNA from 1 species
GACGAACGCUGGCGGCGUGCUUAACACAUGCAAGUCGAACGGAAAGGCCCUGCUUGCAGGGUACUCGAGUGGCGAACGGGUGAGUAACACGUGGGUGAUCUGCCCUGCACUUCGGGAUAAGCUUGGGAAACUGGGUCUAAUACCGGAUAGGAGCCAUUUUUAGUGUGAUGGUUGGAAAGUUUUUUCGGUGUAGGAUGAGCUCGCGGCCUAUCAGCUUGUUGGUGGGGUAAUGGCCUACCAAGGCGGCGACGGGUAGCCGGCCUGAGAGGGUGGACGGCCACAUUGGGACUGAGAUACGGCCCAGACUCCUACGGGAGGCAGCAGUGGGGAAUAUUGCACAAUGGGCGCAAGCCUGAUGCAGCGACGCCGCGUGGGGGAUGACGGCCUUCGGGUUGUAAACUCCUUUCGCUAGGGACGAAGCUUUUUGUGACGGUACCUAGAUAAGAAGCACCGGCUAACUACGUG